rnacentral:tRNA from 1 species
CCAAUCGUAGCUCAGUUGGUAGAGCGGAGGGCUGUAGAUCCUUAGAUCACUGGUUCGAAUCCGGUUGGUUGGA